rnacentral:snRNA from 1 species
AGAUGUGAGGGUGAUCCAGAUGUGGCAUCUGUCAACCCAUUGAUUGCCAUGGUUGACUCGACUGAUCUGGUUGGCUAGGUGGGUGUCCCCUUCCUCCCUCAUCGUUCCAUGUGCAUCCCUCCUGAAGUUGUUCAGUGGAAGGGGAUGACCAUCCUAGACAGAAGGAGUGUACUAAUCAUUAGUCAAGGAUAUACAAUA